rnacentral:ncRNA from 12 species
GUUAUUUGAGGUGGUAAAAUUCGUGGCGACCACACGCCGAUGGUAUCGACAGGGGAAACCCGAGAGAUGUAGGAGAAAGCCACGCCUACCAAAUAAC